CCCCUUGUGGUGUAGUUGGCUAUCACGUUCGGCUGUAAGCAUACCGAAAGGUCACCGGCUCGAUUCCGGUCGAGGGGA